AAAUCGGAUUAUUAUGGUCAAGAGUGUGAAAAUCAAUGUAGUUCAAACUGUUUGAACGGAACCUGUCUCUCAAACAACGGAUCGUGUAUAGGAGGAUGUACAGGUGAUUUUAUGGGCGAGAGAUGUUCUAUGAAACUAACUGUAAGUGACACGACUUCUUUGCCGACUACAGCUAUUGGUGCUGGGCUAGGUGCUGCAUUAUUUCUAUUGAUUUUAAUAAUCAUCGUCGUCAUAUUACUCAGAUACAAAAGACGAAUGCAUCAAAAUACAAAGUCUGAUAUGGUUCUAUAUAAAAAGAAACACACUCCAUCUUCUG